UUUCCGUAGGUGAACCUGCGGAAGGAUCAUUAAUGGGAGAUAAUCGGGGCCGCAAGGCCUGUCUGCAUCACCCUUGACUUUUUGUGCACCUUCUGUUUCCUCGGCAGCUCCGCCUGCCAAUGGGGACCCCCAAUAAACCUUUUUGUAAUCUCAGUAUGAACUUUCUGAACAAACCUAAACGUUAAAACUUUCAACAAUGGAUCUCUUGGCUCUGGCAUCGAUGAAGAACGCAGC
rnacentral:misc_RNA from 1 species